GUCAACGACCCCCGCCUGAAGGCGGGAGCUUGUGAAAGCAAGCUCCGACGUUGACCAGACCACGCCCCGAGAGGGGCAGCGUUACCGUGGAAUCCGACGCGAGUCGGUGUAAUAGGCACUCCGGGAUGCUUCCUCAGUCCCGGACACUGCGGCAGGCGGUUAAACAGGUCUACGGGGUACGAAGCCAGUGCCGCCUCCAGGGAUGGACCCGAAAGGGUGCGAAAACCCACGGAUAACAUGGUCGAGGGGAGCGGGCC
rfam:Allochromatium vinosum DSM 180, complete genome.